UUGGGUGCUUGCACCUAAUCUUAGCGGCGGACGGGUGAGUAAUGCUUAGGAAUCUGCCAUUUAGUGGGGGACAACAUUCCGAAAGGGAUGCUAAUACCGCAUACGUCCUACGGGAGCAAAGCAGGGGAUCUUCGGACCUUGCGCUAAAUGAUGAGCCUAAGUCGGAUUAGCUAGUUGGUGGGGUAAAGGCCUACCAAGGCGACGAUCUGUAGCGGGUCUGAGAGGAUGAUCCGCCACACUGGGACUGAGACACGGCCCAGACUCCUACGGGAGGCAGCAGUGGGGAAUAUUGGACAAUGGGCGCAAGCCUGAUCCAGCCAUGCCGCGUGUGUGAAGAAGGCCUUUGGUUGUAAAGCACUUUAAGCGAGGAGGAGGCUACCUGGAUUAAUACUCUAGGAUAGUGGACGUUACUCGCAGAAUAAGCACCGGCUAACUCUGUGCCAGCAGCCGCGGUAAUACAGAGGGUGCGAGCGUUAAUCGGAUUUACUGGGCGUAAAGCGUGCGUAGGCGGCUGAUUAAGUCGGAUGUGAAAUCCCUGAGCUUAACUUAGGAAUUGCAUUCGAUACUGGUCAGCUAAGAGUAUGGGAGAGGAUGGUAGAAUUCCAGGUGUACAGGUGAAAUGCGUAGAGAUCUGGAGGAAUACCGAUGGCGAAGGCAUCCAUCUGGCCUAAUACUGACGCUGAGGUACGAAAGCAUGGGGAGCAACAGGAUUAGAUACCCUGGUAGUCCAUGCCGUAAACGAUGCUCCUAGCCAUUGGGGCCAUUUGAGGCUUUAGUGGCGCAGCUAACGCGAU
rnacentral:rRNA from 1 species